rnacentral:lncRNA from 1 species
UAUUUCCGCCCGCUUGCAAAGCCUAUGUAUGGUGUGUAUCAACUCUCACCUAUUUAAGAGGAUGAAGAUUUAAUAUACUCCUAUGUUUGCAAGAAUUCUAAAAUGCUUAACUAAAAAUCUGAAACAUUAGUAUGAUUAUAGGAAGUAAUGAAUUUUCGUAGGAUACCCUUGUAUUGACCUUCAAGGAUCCUAUGAAAUAACAAAUUACAAUUCACAAGCUCUAAAGUUCAGAAAUCAAUCACAACCAGUUCAUACAAAAUUAGCUAACUAAGGUUUGCUGCAACAAUACUGAAAGGAAUACCUGUAGUAUUGAAUUUUUGUUUGCAAUCGUAGUAUCAAGCUUGUUCUUCUCAAGUUCUCAUCCUCUCAAAUCCAGAAAUCACAUUAGCAGUAGCCAGCUCUUAGACUGCAUUGCUGGCUACCCCAUUAGCAGAUAGAGACCCUGUUUUUGACGUUCUGCUUGAGCUUGAGCUCCCAGCCGAAGCGCUGCUUGCUUGAUAGAAGUACCAUCCCAAGUCAUGGCUGAUCUGAACGGAGAAGGGAAAAGCAAACAAAUCAACUAAUGGAAACACCGAUUGGGGAGGGGUGGAGAGGGGGAGGAGAGUGAGAAGAACACCCACCGUCGGGGGAGGGGAAGCACCAACAGUCAACGGCCAGAUCCCUCUUCAAACGAACUGGCUGGCACAGAUCUGAGGAAGCCCAUGGCGUGGCGGCGAUGGUAGCGGCUCCCUGGUGACGAGCGAGGGUGCGAGUGCUCUCUCUCGCAGGUGACCCACCUCUCUCUCUCUCUCUCAGCCCCGGAUCUGAGAGGGACGGCGGCGUCCACCACCGUGCCUUGGUCUCUCCCCGAACUCCAGCGCACGAGCUAGGGUUAGAAGUGUUUGGGGGCUAAGCAGUGUGAGUGCAGGAGGAUGAAGGAGACAGGGCAGCAACCUUGCUACCACGGUGACGGUGUGCUAGAGACGUCGGGCGGUCGGUGAUGUGCAGGGUGCCAGAUAGCUAGCGGUCGGCGGCGAAGGGAGUGCGUGAGAGGAUUUGGGUUUGGGGAAUUUGGAUUUAGU